GGGAGUUGCUGUCUUUUGGAGGAGCUUUGGGUGGUUCUGGUGUGUGAUGUUGGAUGCCAGUUCCCCAGCACCACCAGCUCACCUGCACAGGACCAAGUGCAAACCACCGGAUGGGGGGAAAUGGCACCGCUCACCCCUGGCAGAACAACGCCAGGUUUGUCCCCAAAAACACCCAGCAGCCGGUCACCUGCAAGCUGGGAUGGGUCUGGUCUCUCUGGGACCUAUAUGGAAGAGGCAGGGGGUGCCAGAGCAGCCUGGAGGAGUUACGUGGCUCUUAAAUGACUUGGCCAGGCACCCUGUCCCCUUGCCUUGGGGACAGCGUGUUCCCUGCUCGCCACUCCUAGGGAGGAGGCAU